ensembl:lncRNA
ACUGUAUCAGUUUUUGCUUGUUUCCCCAUGACCUUUGGAGCCCAUUCAAAGUCAUCUUCCUUUUGCUUUGCUUUAAGUUCAAUCCCAUGCAUGUUGCCAGCUGAUUUGUUGCCUGUUUUCACACGUCGCCGGCAAAUCACCACCUCUUCAUAUUGUUUAGACAGUCAUCAAACAGACUGCCAGCAGUCUUUGUUAACGGAGUAGGAAGGCUUGGUGCAUCCCGCUCAUGUGGCCUGAAAGGAACUGGAAAGCUGCUUGAUUCCAGCUAAUGAAUCUUUAAAGCCCAGCGUGGGACUUUUAUGGCCAGAGCAGUCAGGCUUCACUGGACAAAGCCUUUUGGCCUAUUGGUGUGGACCCAAGCUCUGCUUGUCUGUCUCCUGAUACAGACCGUGCUCCACCAUGCUGGAAUUUUGUCCUUCAGAUUGUGCCAGAGGUUUGGCUUGUGCUAGCUCUGGAUGGAGACAGCUUGUAUCAUGGAGCCAGAGGACAGUUGGAAUGGGAAGAUAUAGCAUGGUUAACCAGAAUCCAGACUCAUCUGAGCUCCUUGGGCAUCUCCCACUGCAUCAUUCAGGACCUGAGGUUCCCAUGUGCCUUUCUGGUCUUCUCAGCAAGCUAAUGGAAACAAUCCUGAAACUUCAAGGCAGAACGAUGAGGUUUUAGAGUUCCCCUGACUGUUAACGAGAGAGUUGAUUCAGCUUAAGAGCAGCCAAGUGCCAGUGCAUCCCACGUCUCAGUAUUACCAUUAGUCUAAGGGUGCAUCUCCCACUGAGAAUCUGCUCCUCCAGAGCCGCUCCAUCACUGACGGGAAAGGAAGCAGUCACAGCUUGUGUGUGAGUGUAUGCAGUGAGAGUUACUGCGUGGCAACAGCUACAGCACAGCCAGCAGGUCGGAC